UUACCGACUUCCAAAUCAGAACUUUUCUCAGGAUUCCUUAGCGAAACUAACUUAGAGCGUUUCUAGGGUGAGGAAUUUCUAAUGGGAGUCGAAGGUUUAUAUAGAGAGCUAAGGCAGUUUACUAAGCUACUUCGCCGUUAGGUCCUCCACUAAUCAUGUCUCUUCCGACAACAUGUAUCACUGAGUCACGAUUGUCAACACCAAGCAGCGUCCGUUGAUUAACAACCAGACUGGGAGCAUCGUGAAGUUGACACCCUGACAUGAGUCAUUGCCCUUGUCGACAUUACCCGCAUGCGAGACAUGGUCGUUUCUCUCCCACAUAUUGUCGUAGCAACUUAUGUACCUGCUCGCUGUCGUUAAGCAGGUCGACGAGGUGUCCGAUUGUCGGCCGCACAAUAACCGCACACGCCGGCAUGGGUCGAGCAUAUGUCCACCGCGGUCGGGCACACGCCAUCGUGGG